rnacentral:rRNA from 1 species
ACCGGGUGAGUAACACGUGACUAACCUGCCCUCGAGCGGGGGAUAACCCCGGGAAACCGGGGCUAAUACCGCAUAACGUCCUCGAUACGAAAGUAUUGAGGAUCAAAGGAGCAAUCCACUUGAGGAGGGGGUCGCGGCCGAUUAGCUAGUUGGCGGGGUAAUGGCCCACCAAGGCUGAGAUCGGUAGCCGGCCUGAGAGGGCGCACGGCCACACUGGAACUGAAACACGGUCCAGACUCCUACGGGAGGCAGCAGUGGGGAAUUUUGCGCAAUGGGGGGAACCCUGACGCAGCAACGCCGCGUGGAGGAUGAAGUCCCUUGGGACGUAAACUCCUUUCGACCGGGAAGAUAAUGACGGUACCGGAAGAAGAAGCACCGGCUAACUCUGUGCCAGCAGCCGCGGUAAUACAGAGGGUGCGAGCGUCGUUCGGAAUUAUUGGGCGUAAAGGGCGCGUAGGCGGUGCGGUAAGUCACCUGUGAAAUCUCCUGGCUUAACUGGGAGCUUGC